rnacentral:rRNA from 1 species
AGCAGCCGCGGUAAUUCCAGCUCCAAUAGCGUAUAUUAAAGUUGUUGCAGUUAAAAAGCUCGUAGUUGAAUUUCGGGGUUAGCAAGUUGGUCGUGCCACCGGUAUGUACUGGCUUUGCUGAUUCCUCCUUCUUGUAGAACCGUAAUGCCAUUAAUUUGGUGUUGCGGGAAAACAGGACUGUUACUUUGAAAAAAUUAGAGUGUUUAAAGCAGGCUAACGCUUGAAUACAUUAGCAUGGAAUAAUGAAAUAGGACGACGAUCCUAUUUUGUUGGUUUCUAGGAUUGACGUAAUGAUUAAUAGGGAUAGUUGGGGGCAUUAGUAUUCAAUUGUCAGAGGUGAAAUUCUUGGAUUUAUUGAAGACUGACUACUGCGAAAGCAUUUGCCAAGGAUGUUUUCAUUAAUCAAGAACGAAAGUUAGGGGAUCGAAGACGAUCAGAUACCGUCGUAGUCUUAACCAUAAACUAUGCCGACUAGGGAUCGGAUGAUGUUAAUUUUAUAAUGACUCAUUCGGCGCCUUAA